rnacentral:rRNA from 1 species
UCGCCUGUUUUAUCAAAAACAUGGCCUCUUGAUAAUAAUAUGAGGUCUGACCUGCCCACUGAAUUUAAAAGUUUAAAGGGCCGCGGUAUUUUGACCGUGCAAAGGUAGCAUAAUCAUUAGUCUUUUAAUUGAAGGCUAGAAUGAAUGGUUGGACGAGGUACUGACUGUCUCAGUAUAAUUGAUAGUAGAAUUUAACUUUUAAGUCAAAAGGCUUAAAUAAUUUUAGAGGACGAGAAGACCCUAUAGAGCUUUAUAUUUAUCUGUUAUUAUUUGUUUAGGAGAAAUUUUUAUUAUAUCAGUUAAAGUAUUUUGUUGGGGUGACAGGAAGAUAAAAUUAACUCUUUUUAGUUUAAAUACAUUUAUUUAUGAAUUGUUGAUCCAUUAGUAGUGAUUAUAAGACUAAGUUACCUUAGGGAUAACAGCGUAAUCUUUUUCGAGAGUUCUUAUCGACAAAAAGGGUUGCGACCUCGAUGUUGGAUUAAGGGUAAUUUUGGGUGUAGAUGUUCAAAGUUUAGGUC